rnacentral:misc_RNA from 1 species
AGAAUAUUUACGUAUUAAUGUAAGUAUGUUUUCUAUAUAAUAUUCUAGUCUUCUGUUGUCUUCUUAAUAAAAACUGUAAACCCAUAAACUUUAAAAAUUGAUUUAUUGUUUACAGCGUUGUUAAUAUCAAGCAGUAUAGGUUCCAUUAUUGGUGUUAUAAUGAACGAAUUGGACAAUAAAAUGGUCUCAACAAAAAAGAAUGUGUGCAAUGAGUUCAAAAAAAAAGAUGGCACAGGAAAAGACAACCAAUACUUGUACUUGCGUUCUGUGGCCAAAAUUGAGUGUGGUCAAAACGAGGGUACAGCAGUUUGCGUUCACACGUCUGACGCUGUCAAAGGACACCUGUUCCUUACCUGUGCUCAUGUCGUAGACCAUACAAUCCAAUCGGUAAUAUUACGAUAUGAUGGGCAUGCAAUUAAAGGUAGAGUUAUAUAUGUUAAUCGUAAGGCUGUACCAUAUGACAUUGCUGUAAUUGUAUCUGAACAAACUAAACAAACUACAGACAUUUUACCUUGUCAGAUAUCAGACAAAACCCCGACUAUUGGUCAAAAAAUGUUUUCGGUUGGAUUCGCUUGUCGAGAAUAUGUACCAUCUACAGUUUUCGGUCACAUGCACAGAAUGAUAUAUAGCAUAUUGACGACCACUUGUAAUGUGCGUGCAGGGUUCAGCGGCGGUCCAGUAUUUUCAAUCGACAGAAAACUGUUGGGACUUACUGUUGGAAAAUUGAACAUGGGCACUUUUCAUUUUGUAUUGCCUUCUAUAGAAUUUGUGGAAACUAUUAACAAAUAUAUCAUUACUAAUAACAUUGAAAUACUUAAUGAUUUAGAAUCCAAGUGCCCAUUGAAAACAGUGCUAUGGAACAAUGGAAUUCCAACCUUCAAAGUUUGAAGAACGGUGAUAAUCUGGUCAAAUAACACUCUUAUAUUGACUAACAUAGCAUUCCAUAUCAACAAAUGUAAGGUACAUUCUUCAUAAUUACUAGUGCCUAUUUCCUUGAUUUCUAUCAAGGCACUCCAAUAUUUACUAUAUCAAAAGAGUUUUUAGAGGAAAUGUGUACAAUGUGUAUGAUAGUUAUGAAGAACUAGGCAAUUUAAAUUCAAUAUUGGCCUAUAUUCUGUCUCAAAAGAAAACAAUCACGUUUUGCCAUCAUGAAUGAUGUAACUGGCGCGUUGAGAACCACGUGAUCAAGCUAACACCAAAUUGUUAUCUAGAGAAGCGCUGUCAAAAAUCGGUAGGCCGACUGAUAGCUCUCUUUUGAGACAUGUAUAGGUAGAUAAGAAAAAAUAAGUACAUAAUAAUAAAUUGUUUGUGUCCAAAGUUAGAAUAAACAAUUACAACAUAAUUUUUUUAAUUAUUAUGAUUGCGCUAAAUAAAAUCAACAUGUGUGAACUGAA